GAUGAACGCUGGCGGCAUGCCUAACACAUGCAAGUCGAUCGGUAAGGCUCUUCGGAGUACAGGAGAGGCGGACGGCUGAGUAACGCGUAGGAACACACCCUGCAGUGAGGGAUAAGACACCGAAAGGUGUUCUAAUACCGCAUACGGUCUUCGGAUUAAAGCAUUUAUGCGCUGAAGGAGUGGCCUGCGUCAUAUUAGAUAGUUGGUGAGGUAAUGGCUCACCAAGUCGAUGAUGUGUAGCUGGUCUGAGAGGAUGAUCAGCCAGACUGGAACUGAGACACGGUCCAGACUCCUACGGGAGGCAGCAGUGAGGAAUAUUUCACAAUGAGCGAAAGCUUGAUGGAGCAAUGCCGCGUGCAGGAUGAAGGCCCUCGGGUUGUAAACUGCUUUUAUAAGAGAAGAUUAUGACGGUAACUUAUGAAUAAGGGACGGCUAACUACGUG
rnacentral:rRNA from 1 species